CAGCCGCCGCGGUAAUACGUAGGUGGCAAGCGUUGUCCGGAAUUAUUGGGCGUAAAGUGUCUAUAGGUGGCUUUUCAAGUCCGCCGUCAAAUCCCAGGGCUCAACCGUGGACAGGCGGUGGAAACUACCAAGCUGGAGUACGGUAGGGGCAGAGGGAAUUUCCGAUGGAGCGGUGAAAUGCGUUGAGAUCGGAAAGAACACCAACGGAGAAAGCACUCUGCUGGGCCGACACUGACACUGAGAGACGAAAUCUAGGGGAGCAAAUGGGAUUAGAUACCCCGGUAGUCCCUGUCUCUUAUAC
rnacentral:rRNA from 1 species